rnacentral:rRNA from 1 species
GAUGAACGCUGGCGGCGUGCCUAAUACAUGCAAGUCGAGCGAACGGACGAGAAGCUUGCUCCUCUGAUGUUAGCGGCGGACGGGUGAGUAACACGUGGAUCACCUACCUAUAAUACUGGGAUAACUUCGGGAAACCGCAGCUAAUACCGGAUAAUAUUUUGUACCGCAUGGUUCAAAAGUAAUAGACGGUCUUGCCGUCACUUAUAGAUGGAUCCGCGCUGGAUUAGCUAGUUGGUAAGGUAACGGCUCACCAAGGCAACGAUGCAUAGCCGACCUGAGAGGAUGAUCGGCCACACUGGAACUGAGACACGGUCCAGACUCCUACGGGAGGCAGCAGUAGGGAAUCUUCCGCAAUGGGCGAAAGCCUGAUGGAGCAACGCCGCGUGAGUGAUGAAGGUCUUCGGAUCGUAAAACUCUGUUAUUAGGAAAGAAAAUAUGUGUGAGUAACUGUGCACAUCUUGACGGUACCUAAUCAGAAAGCCACGGCUAACUUCGUG